rnacentral:lncRNA from 1 species
GAGCCACACACAUAAUAUUACACAUUAAGGGUCUCACGACCCAUAAUAGUAGUCAUUCAGUUACAAGCCAGCGGAAGAGUUUAAAGUUGUCUGAGUACAGACAGGUGCAACUAAAAGGGCACAUGGCCUGACUAUACUACAGACCCAACCUAGGGCCAGAUCGUAGCUGGGACACCAGCUACUCGUCGUGGUCGAUGUCUACGAAGAACCCUCCAUUAGGGUCAUUAGCAACCUCUGCAACAAUUAUUAAGCAAACAUAAGUACGAAGGUACUCAGCAAGACUUUAGGAUAACUAUCUACUCAUGCAAGGUAUCAAUAAGGUAUUGUGGGGUUUCAUGCGGAAAGCCAGCAUUUGACUCGUGGCUAGACAACUUGCAUUUUUAAAUAAUUUUGACAACUUGAUUUCUCGCACACGAGUCCACUAACACCACAACAAUACACCAUCGUGGAAUCAUUCCGUAUCCAUACGGAAAUGCCGUCCACGACACUCACGCUUAUCUUGACAAUUUUAUGAGUAGCCAUUUAAGUUAUCUAUGAACAACAUAUGUCUCCAAGUAGUCCAUAACCGCGGACGCGGCUAUUCGAAUAGAUCAUAACCCUGCAGGGGUGUACUUCGUCACACACGCUCUCGCCACUUAUCGCCAUGUGCACGUCAUGCACCUCGGCAACCUUCAAGCGGAAGCCCAGCGAGGGAGUCGGCCACGACCGUUAACCACACUAGUAUCUAGUCCAGGUUUAUCGCCUAUCUGAGAGUAACCCGUACGGAAGUCCGGCCGAGGUUUCCGCCACGGCCUCAAACGAUGUGCGCAGGGUUCCCAAGCCCACCAUCCGGGUGCCACUUGGUACACCGUGCCACUACCUACCGCAUCACGGCCCACCUCUCAGGUCAGCACCAUGCACGGCCUCCAGCAUUACUAUAAACACCAGAAACUACUUGCAACUCCUGGACCGAGUACUAAGCGAUUAAUAGGCCGAGCGGGGUCAUAUUUCAGGGCCCAGCAUGUGGUAGUAUCUAGUCUUGGAUUACAUACACGGAACUCAGUUCCUAAGGACAGUUCCAAUGAAACAACCCGCCAUGUACUCCUACACAGCCUUUCAUCGGUACCUUUACCAAAUCAGAUUCAACACGCAACCUUUGCUUACCGAACGCAUUCUCACAAUUCUGUUCAUCUCCCAGAUGACAGACCAUACACAACUCUAAGCAUAGCAUGCAUAGCAGGAUAAGGCACAUCAUGGCUCAAGCAACUACCAGGUAUGCUAGGUUGCCAGGUUCGUCUAUUUACUGUGACAAGGAUAGGUCAUGCAAAGGAAGUGGGUUCAACUAACGUGGCAAAAGCAGUUGAAGCAUUUGAUCCUAAUGCAAUAAACAAGUGUAGGAGCAAGAACAUGGGAUUUAUCGGGAUGAUCAAAAUGGUUGCUUGCCUUGUUGCUCAGAGGAGGGACAAUAUCCGUCAGACGGAUAUUCGGUGGAAUCCGGGGGAGCGGAGCCUACCGAAGGAAAUGACAACAAUCAAUAUCAAGCAUAUGCAAUCAAGAUGAUGCAUGAGCAUGGCAUGAGAAUGCAAGGUGAUAUACUAUUAUAAUCAACAUGUAUUAGGUUUGAAGUUGAUUUGAAUUAAAUUCAAAUAUCACCUCAAAUGAGGUAUUCUCGGAUACCGAUUUAAUUGAUUCGACCUGAUGCUCAGAUCAACUUGAUGUUAACAUGCAUGGGAUGUCAUGUUAAGUUGCUGGUUUGUUAUUAGAACAAUGUUUGACCAUGUCAAACAAAAAGAAAUUUAAAUACUUUCCAUAUUCCAUUUAUAAAGUAUUUAUAAGAAUUGACUUAUUCAUUAAUCUACAUGUUUGGGUUGUGUAACUUUUUCAAACAUGAUUGAAAAUAGCAUAUUCAGAUUCCUUGAAUUUUUCUGAUACUUUUUCAUAUAUAAAUUAUUUUCAUUGGAGUUACAGAUUAAUUUCUAUGAAUUUUUGAAGUUUUAAACAUUUCUGGAAUUAUUCUUAUACUGGAAAAUACUUUUACUGCAUCAGCAUGACAUCAGCAGGUCCAUCUAGCCGCUGAAAGUCAAACCUGACCAGUGGGACCCACUGGUCAGUCUCUCUGGUCAAUUUUAGAUUAGGAUUAAUCUUAUUUAGUUAAUUAAACUCACUGGACCCACAUGUCAGUGUCUUAUUAAUUUAUCUUAUUUAUUUUUAUUAUCUCUAAACUAUCCAGAGGCUGGCCCCACCCGUCAGUGGCUCAGGCCAGCUGAGAUCCACCGGCGGCAAGGUCAUCCUCGCCGGCGGGGAGCUUCCGGCGAGCACCAGAACGUCGGGGGGGCUCGGAAACUCGUCUGCGACGGCCAAACUCACGGCAGAGACCACGGGAAGAACGGCCACUCGACGGCNNNNNNNNNNNNNNNNNNNNNNNNNNNNNNNNNNNNNNNNNNNNNNNNNNNNNNNNNNNNNNNNNNNNNNNNNNNNNNNNNNNNNNNNNNNNNNNNNNNNNNNNNNNNNNNNNNNNNNNNNNNNNNNNNNNNNNCGACGGCGCGCACGAUGGGACAAGCCCCAGGGGCUGGGGUGGCCGGAAUCAACGCCGGCGACGAGCUUGGCGGCGACCAAGUUCGGCCAUCGUCGAAGCCAUCGAAUACGGGGUCAAAACGCGCGGGGCUGGGCACCUAACGCAUCUACAUGAUGUCCUGAGGCUGUUGGUGGCCUCAGACGGACCAACCCGUCACCGGAGGGUUACCGGCGACGAGCUGCAGCGGCGGUCCUCGUCGGGCUCCGAUGGAACUAAGCCUAGAGGAGGGGAUCGACGGGGAGAGCUUAGGGGAAAUGACCGCAUGCUCACGGGGAGUGCAGUGGUGGCGCUAGCUUGCUCGGGGACGGCCUGGAGAGGGAGAACGCCGGCGACGAUCUUCGGUGACCCGAGGAAGAAGACGACUGCUCCUCGUCGUUUCACUGCAUCUGGGCGUCUGGCUCGUGGCUAGGGAGCUUCAGGGGGAUGCGGCGGACCUACUGCGUGGCUCAGGAGGGAGAAGGGUCGGCUAGAUCGACGACGAGCUUGAGCUCUGCUCGGGCUCCAAUGGCGGCAGAAGGAGGGAGGAGAGAUCCGAGAGGAGGGGGGAACUGGCGCUGGGAAUGGAUAGGGUCGGCCUCGGGGAGCUUAUCCCCGUGCUUGCCAGCGCGAAGCGGCGGCCAGGCAGCCAGGGAGCUGCGUGGAGGCGCGCGGCGACGCGGCGGCCACCUCCUGCUCCUACUGGCGAGGAGGAAGACGACAGGAGGAGCUGGGCUGGGCCGGCUAGGCGACACGUAAGGUUUUUCCCAUUUCUUUCUGUUUUAUUUCUGUUUUAAUUGCUGGCAUUGAUCUACCAUUCCUAAAGUUUUUCAACAUUUUUAAAAGUUUAAAGUUUCUGAUUUCAAAUUUAAAACUUGAAAUCAGUAGCUUUUUGCAUUUAUUUAAAAUGCUUAAAAUGUCAAGAAAAUGGUUUUCUUCAUUGCUCAUUUACUUUCUGAUUUAUCAGAAAGUUUGAACUUUUCUUGAGGCCAUUUUGGGUUCAUUGAUUUUAACUAGUUAGAAUUUUCCCUCAUUCUAAGAAGUGGGUAGGGUUUUAGCAUUUUCCUUCAUCAUUUGCUUUGUUCUUAUUGAAAAAAUCCUAGAUGCAAUGCAAAGAAAAACAUGAGCACAAGCUAACUUGCUUAAGGAUUCAGGAAUGUGACAUGAAGGAAGAGGAGCACCAGAAAGCAGCGCCGCCGUCCGCCCUCCCGACGCCCUCACCGGAAACCCGUGUGCUACUGCGCCGCUUGGCAUCAGCCAUGGCUGUCCGUCCCGCUGCAAUCCGUAUCGGCACUUGGUCGCCCGAGGCACUCGGCCUCACCAGCCGUGUUGCAGACCUCCACCUCCACCAGGCCGCCUCCAACCUCCUCUCCUCCUCUGCGAAGGGACCGCUCCGCCACUGAAGGAGCCGGCCAUGGGCACGAGCAUGGAGGAGAGCAAGUAGUACUCACGAUCUGGGAGAGAUAGCCAUUUGGGAGAGAAAGUGAUGUGGG